rnacentral:rRNA from 1 species
GAAUUCGCCCUUAGAGUUUGAUCCUGGCUCAGGACGAACGCUGGCGGCACGCUUAACACAUGCAAGUCGAACGAGAGAAGAGAAGCUUGCUUUUCUGAUCUAGUGGCGGACGGGUGAGUAACACGUGAGCAAUCUGCCUUUCAGAGGGGGAUACCGAUUGGAAACGAUCGUUAAUACCGCAUAACAUAAUUGAACCGCAUGAUUUGAUUAUCAAAGAUUUAUCGCUGAAAGAUGAGCUCGCGUCUGAUUAGCUAGUUGGUAAGGUAACGGCUUACCAAGGCGACGAUCAGUAGCCGGACUGAGAGGUUGAUCGGCCACAUUGGGACUGAGACACGGCCCAGACUCCUACGGGAGGCAGCAGUGGGGAAUAUUGCACAAUGGAGGAAACUCUGAUGCAGCGAUGCCGCGUGAGGGAAGAAGGUUUUAGGAUUGUAAACCUCUGUCUUUGGGGACGAAAAAUGACGGUACCCAAGGAGGAAGCUCCGGCUAACUACGUGCCAGCAGCCGCGGUAAUACGUAGGGAGCGAGCGUUGUCCGGAAUUACUGGGUGUAAAGGGAGCGUAGGCGGGAUCGCAAGUCAGAUGUGAAAACUAUGGGCUUAACCCAUAAACUGCAUUUGAAACUGUGGUUCUUGAGUGAAGUAGAGGUAAGCGGAAUUCCUAGUGUAGCGGUGAAAUGCGUAGAUAUUAGGAGGAACAUCAGUGGCGAAGGCGGCUUACUGGGCUUUAACUGACGCUGAGGCUCGAAAGCGUGGGGAGCAAACAGGAUUAGAUACCCUGGUAGUCCACGCCGUAAACGAUGAUUACUAGGUGUGGGGGGACUGACCCCUUCCGUGCCGCAGCAAACGCAAUAAGUAAUCCACCUGGGGAGUACGACCGCAAGGUUGAAACUCAAAGGAAUUGACGGGGGCCCGCACAAGCAGUGGAGUAUGUGGAUUAAUUCGAAGCAACGCGAAGAACCUUACCAGGUCUUGACAUCGUAUGCAUAGCUCAGAGAUGAGUGAAAUCUCUUCGGAGACAUAUAGACAGGUGGUGCAUGGUUGUCGUCAGCUCGUGUCGUGAGAUGUUGGGUUAAGUCCCGCAACGAGCGCAACCCUUACUGUUAGUUGCUACGCAAGAGCACUCUAGCAGGACUGCCGUUGACAAAACGGAGGAAGGUGGGGAUGACGUCAAAUCAUCAUGCCCCUUAUGACCUGGGCCUCACACGUACUACAAUGGCUGUCAACAGAGGGAUGCAAAGCCGCGAGGUGGAGCGAACCCCUAAAAGCAGUCUUAGUUCGGAUUGUAGGCUGCAACCCGCCUACAUGAAGUCGGAAUUGCUAGUAAUCGCAGAUCAGCAUGCUGCGGUGAAUACGUUCCCGGGCCUUGCACUCACCGCCCGUCA